AGCUCCAAUAGCAUAUAUUAAUGUUGUUGCAGUUAAAAAGCUCGUAGUUGGAUUUCUGCAGGAGUGCCAAUGUCCGCCCACGUGCGUGUGCAGCGGCGCCCCUGCAUCCUUCGGUUACCUCCGCUCGGCAUUCACUUGCCGGCGGUAGGCUCCGAAUAUUUACCUUGAGAAAAUUAGAGUGUUUCAGGCAGGCUAAGCCGGAAUACAUUAGCAUGGAAUAAUAGAAUAGGACUACGGUCUCGUUGUUGGUUUGAGGGACUGGAGUAAUGAUUAAUAGGGAUAGUUGGGGGCAUUAGUAUUUAAUUGUCAGAGGUGAAAUUCUCAGAUUAACUAAAGACUAACUUAUGCGAAAGCAUUUGCCAAGGAUGUUUUCA
rnacentral:rRNA from 1 species